rnacentral:misc_RNA from 1 species
AAGUCGUAACAAGGUUUCCGUAGGUGAACCUGCGGAAGGAUCAUUAACACGUAUCCACGUAUCAACCCUUUGUGCUUUUUACGUUUUGACGUACCUGCCAUAGCGUGCAGACCUUCUGGAUUCACGAGUGUUUGAAUGGUGUAGUGCAUUUGCAUUACUGCCUCGUGUUCUGUUGUGUAGUGUAAUCAACCUUCGCGGUUUUAUGCUAUCUUCUGGUCUUGCAGAGCUUCCGUCGCAGGCAUUUUUGUUAACCAUUCGGCAAACUUUUUUUAAACAAACCCUUUGAAAACAUCUUACUAACGAAUCUUUGUCAGCCCUUGGUUGCCUCGGCAAUUCUCAAGGCUUUCAAUUAUUACGAAAUGCUGAACAACUCUUAGCAACGGAUAUCUUGGUUCUC